rnacentral:rRNA from 1 species
UGGGGAAUAUUGGACAAUGGGGGCAACCCUGAUCCAGCCAUGCCGCGUGAGUGAUGAAGGCCUUCGGGUUGUAAAGCUCUUUUGGCGGGGACGAUGAUGACGGUACCCGCAGAAUAAGCCCCGGCUAACUUCGUGCCAGCAGCCGCGGUAAGACGAAGGGGGCUAGCGUUGUUCGGAAUUACUGGGCGUAAAGCGAGUGUAGGCGGUUGCCGUAGUCAGGUGUGAAAGCCUUGAGCUCAACUCAAGAAAUGCACUUGAUACUGGGUGACUAGAGGACCGGAGAGGAUAGUGGAAUUCCCAGUGUAGUGGUGAAAUACGUAGAGAUUGGGAAGAACACCAGUGGCGAAGGCGGCUAUCUGGACGGUUACUGACGCUAAGACUCGAAAGCGUGGGGAGCAAACAGGAUUAGAUACCCUGGUAGUCCACGCCGUAAAACGAUGGGUGCUAGACGUUGGCGAGCUUGCUCGUCAGUGUCGCAGCUAACGCGUUAA